UACGAGGGGUCCUAGCGUUGUUCGGAAUCAUUGGGCGUAAAGAGUCUGUAGGCGGCCUUGUAAGUCAGGUGUGAAAGCCCCGGGCUCAACCCGGGAAGUGCAUCUGAUACUGCUUGGCUUGAAUGUUGGAGAGGGUAGUGGAAUUCCUGGUGUAGUGGUGAAAUACGUAGAUAUCAGGAGGAACACCUGUGGCGAAGGCGGGUCUCUGGGCAGUAACUGACGCUGAGGAGCGAAAGCCAGGGGAGCAAACGGG
rnacentral:rRNA from 1 species